GUUCGACCAUGGUGCAGCUGCAUUCAGAAAUUCUACUGUUAUGCAUGUGAUUUUCAUGUGGAGUUUGGAAGGAGAAGCAUUCCUGGAGACUUCUGUUGCAGAAGGGAGGGAUGGUUUCUCCCUGGAGCCUGCACUUUUGAGAAGUCCAUUCAUGCUUUUGCCUCGAGUGCUUAAACCUUGGACAUACCGGCCUCCAGAACUGUGAGAAAUAAAUGGCUAUUGUUUAGGCCACCUAGUCUAUGGAUUGUUCUGCCUGGAAGAGAUGGUGGACACCAGGCAUGACAGAGAAGAUUGUUGGAUUUGUGCCUACCAUUAGGUCUCAAAGAUGUAUCUGACUCUACUGGAUAUCUGCUUAGAAUGCAAAUAUUUUGCAUGUUGGUGUAUUUGUGCUCUGCAGUAAUUUCCGAAAAUGGGAC
ensembl:lncRNA